rnacentral:lncRNA from 1 species
GAUGCUGCAUGUGAUUGUGUGUGUGUGUGUGUGUGUGUGUGUGUAUGUAAGGUCCUACCUGGCUCCGGUGUGUGUGAGUGUCCCGCGUGCAGUAAUCCUGCCACAGCGAGCAGCGCGAGAGCCAACCCGGACAGCAGCAUGCCGGAGUGAGUGUGUGGAGCCUCGUGCCCCACUGCUCGCUCUAAUCCUCCACCUCGCUGCAGUGCUGCCAGGGCACUAGCAAUGCUCCCAAGGAGGGUGAAGACUUGCACAUGCCUCCUCCAACACAGCAUUAUGCUAGGAACGAUGUGGGGAGAGAGCGUCAUCUACCCACCCAGAGAGAGUAUGGCAGUAUCGUGCUCUCUCGGAAUCCAGCUGUUGAUGGCGAAACAGUCUCACCACAAAGCCUUGUUAGACUUUUUCAGAUGUUUAACCAAAAGGCUACUGAGAAGAAAUCUUCCCAGAUUUGGACCCUUAAACAGAACUUUACGGCCCAGGAGCUUCACUAGCGCUAAAGAAGCGCCUAAACAGACGCGCUCCAGCUUUCCCUCCUCAAACACGCAUAUAAAACAGAUGCACACACACUGCUGAUGUACCACGAUCCUCAUUGAGCUGACGACAGGCCUUUCCACCAGCUCACUGUAGUACAAACCCACCCCCCCUCUCCCCCACACCACCGAACUGAUGGAGAGCAGGAGAGAGAGCAUGCAGACAAAGAGGCUCAGCCACAGUGAAGCCAGGGAUGCUGUGAAUAGCUUUUAGUACAUGAGAGAGAGAGAGAGAAAUGAGAGAGAGAGAGAGAGAGAGAGAGAGAGAGAGAGAAAUAAGAGAGAAGGAUGUCUGUGUAGUGGCUCUCGACUGCCAUCUUCAGAUCAGCAGCUACAGUUCUGCACUAUAAUUAUACUAUACUAUAAUAACACUAUAAUAACUGACAUAGUAUUGACCUGCUUCUGUCAAAUAAGCAAACAUGUAUUGAAGGAACAAUAUGUAUUAGAUUUUCUGUAACUAACUAAUAAUUAAACGAUCACGAUGUGUCAUAAACAAUUAA